ensembl:lncRNA
GGCCAUUCUCCUGCCUCAGCCUCCCGAGUAGCUGGGACCACAGGCGCCCGCCACCAUGCCUGGCUAAUUUUUUUGUAUUUUUAGUAGAGACAGGGUUUCACCGUGUUAGCCAGGAUGGUCUCGAUCGCCUGACCUCGGGUGAUCCACCUGCUUCAGCCUCCCAAAGUGCUGGGAUUACAGGCAUGAGCCACCACCCUGGUUUCAUUUAUCUUUUAAAGAAUAUAGUGACUCAGGCAAGAGACGUAGCGGGGUUUGUCUUUAAAGCAUCUUUCUGGAGAGCUGCAUGUUGUCACAGAAUCAGGGGCUUGUGAAAUUAUGCUGGCAUGCAGAAAUGAGAAACAUGGCUUCUUAAAUUUGUUACUUUGUCUUAUAUGACCCAUGCUACCCCUUCAGAGGACCAGAUCUGGGAAGAAGCUAACAGUAUGCAGUAUGCCACCUCUUCAUGUGUUGUUUAAAACCUUGAUUUGUAGUGUUUGUCUAUUUCCUAGUAUAAAUAUGGCCAAUGUCAAGCUACCAACAUGACAUCACUUAACCUGGAGUUAAGAUGCCCACAGUCCGUUCUUGCAAGCCAGGAAGAGUCGGCUCCAGCACCCCACUUGGUGAGGCCAGCCCUGAGAACAGCAGAGCUGGGAGCGAAAAGCACCUGCACACAGAUCUGCACCACAGAUUUGCCUCCACGUGGGCAGCUUUCUGUUACUUGGGGCCAAAUGCAUCCCACACCCUGGAGGACUGCACGGCAAGAAGAGAAGAAAAUCCAGGAGCAACCCGGAGGAACGGACAGGAUUUAUGCAGCAGGCAGAGGAAGAGGAGGCCGUGAGCUCAGCUGCCACAGUAAUGUGGUGAUGCCAAGGAAUGGAUAUAUAAAAUGAUAAGAAAAUCAGAGAAAAUACUUGUGCUGGGAUCCGAAGGAAGAGGGAAAGAAGACAGAAGGAAGAGAAUCACAGACAGAAGCAAACAGUGUUUGCAAAGCCUUGCAGCAGCAAGAAGAGGCAGGGAGACUGUGAGAAGGCCCAGGGCUGCAGAGAUGCAACAGCUUGGCUUGCUCAGCCUCUUUGGUUGUGUGCCUUCCUGUACUAGAGAGACUCGGAAACUAGAUGUCUCUGAAGCCAAGGGUGCAGGUCAGAUGUGACUUAGGCUCUACCAAUCAGGUGUACCAUGGAUGUUAAUGUUCCAAGGCGGGGGCCAUGUUUCUCUGGUCUUUGGACAAGCAGAGUCAAGGAGGUAUUUGUUUUUGCACAGCAGUUGUUUCGGAGGGCUCAGCAUCUAGAUCCAUGUGUUGUGAUUGCAGGGGAAGAGCUUGGGUCACCCAUUCUGCCGCAUGGGUCAGGGUAGAGUACUGUCCUUCCUGGGGCCAGCAGGUGUAAUGGUCACCUGAUUUCCCAGCUUCUUGAUCAUGGUGGUGGCUGCAGCUCCCCUGGGAGGCCAGUUCUGCAGUGUUCUUCUGGGGAUCAUAUCUGGAAGUUCAGCCUAGAGCCAGCCUCUCUGGCCCUCCCAACGCUGGUGUAAGCACCUUUCCCUUGUAUUAAAUUCCUUUCUUCCUAAACAAGCUGCUACAGUUCCUGUGAUCUGAAACCGAGACUGACUGUGGUGUUUUAAAGCAAACCAUGAAGUUUUCCCAUUGAGAAAUGAAGCUUAUUUCUCCUCCCUUCAAUUGGCACUGGCCCUGUGACUUCUUAACCAAAAAUAAAGUGGUAGAAUUGAUGCUCUGUCA